GCAGAAUUCCGCGAAUCAUCGANUCUUUGAACGCAAGUUGCGCCCGAGGCUUGACCAAGGGCAUCCCUGCCAGAGCGUCAUU
rnacentral:rRNA from 1 species